GGGGUUAAACACUUACCUUUCUCCAGCGCUGGGCAGGGAGCUUUCCUCCUCCUCUCCUUCUUCCUAGCGACGUCAUAGGAUGAAUGCGCAUGAGCAGCAGGAGCCGCGCACACAUUCAGCCAGUCUCAUAGGAAAGCAUUCAUAAUGCUUUCCUAUGGACUCUGGCAUCCUCUCACUGUGAUUUUCACAGUGAGAAUCACGCAAGC